rnacentral:rRNA from 1 species
AGCGAACGCUGGCGGCAGGCCUAACACAUGCAAGUCGAACGAGCCUUUCGGGGUUAGUGGCGGACGGGUGAGUAAACCGUUAAAAAGUGCCUCUUGGGUCGGGAACAACCGCGGAAACUUGUUGCUAAUCCCCCUGUGGCCUACGGGGGAAAGAUGUAAUGCCUUUGAAGCGGCCCGCGCCUGAUUAGAUAGUUGUGUGGGGUAAUGGGUCAACAAGGCGACGAUCCGUAGCUUGUCAGAGAGGGUGAUCAGCCACAGGGGGACUGAGACAAGGCACAAACUCCUGCGGGAGGCAGCAGUGGGGAAUCUUGCGCAAUGGGCGAAAGCCUGACGCAGCCAUGCCGCGUGAAUGAUGAAGGUCUGAGGAUUGUAAAACUCUUUCACCGGGGACGAUAAUGACGGUACCCGGAGAAGAAGCCCCGGCUAACUUCGUG